rnacentral:rRNA from 1 species
UACAGAGGGUGCAAGCGUUAAUCGGAAUUACUGGGCGUAAAGGGUGCGUAGGUGGCGUUAUAAGUCAGGUGUGAAAUCUCGGGGCUCAACCCCGAAACUGCACUUGAUACUGUAAUGCUCGAGUACUGGAGAGGAGAUUGGAAUUUACGGUGUAGCAGUGAAAUGCGUAGAUAUCGUAAGGAAGACCAGUGGCGAAGGCGAAUCUCUGGACAGUUACUGACACUGAGGCACGAAGGCCAGGGGAGCAAACGGG